rnacentral:rRNA from 1 species
GAUGAACGCUAGCGGCAGGCCUAACACAUGCAAGUCGAGGGGUAACAGAGAGUGCUUGCACUUUGCUGACGACCGGCGCACGGGUGCGUAACGCGUAUACAAUCUACCUUUUGCUGAGGGAUAGCCCAGAGAAAUUUGGAUUAACACCUCAUGGUAUCAUUGAAUCGCAUGGUUUAAUGAUUAAAGGUUACGGCAAAAGAUGAGUAUGCGUCCUAUUAGCUAGAUGGUGUGGUAACGGCACACCAUGGCAACGAUAGGUAGGGGCCCUGAGAGGGGGAUCCCCCACACUGGUACUGAGACACGGACCAG